GGCCGCACAGCCUGCUCCGGAUGCGGAAGCGCGCGCUGCGGUGCGGCCCGGAGCUCCCACCUUUACCCCAGGCAGGCGCGAUUCGCGUGGACGCUGAGGCCCUAGAAAGAAAAGGAUGCAACGCAGACGAAUGGCCCCAUUUCCUGAGAGGGUCAGGCCAGGCUGGACGAUGGCUGAGACUCCCCUCCCGUUAACUGUCUCGUGUCCCGUCUUCUCCACUCUUCCUCACUGCACAUCAAUGCUGUACAAGCAGCCAGCUGUUUCUGAAGGAGUCUGGAAAUGUGUGCAAAACCCUUUCGAGACGUCGGAGACAGCAGAUUACAUUCAGCGAGCACCAAUGUCAAGGGCAGGACGAGGCUCACCACGGAAGUCCCCCUGGAGCCUCGCUCGCAGACCCCGGUCCCUCAUCUCCCGCUCACUUGGAGCCCUCGGCCCCACUCUCUGGCACACGUGA
rnacentral:lncRNA from 1 species